rnacentral:rRNA from 1 species
CCCUUAGAUGUUCUGGGCCGCACGCGCGCUACACUGACGAAUGUAACGAGCUUAUAACCUUGGCCGAAAGGUCUGGGUAAUCUCCAAAUUUCGUCGUGAUGGGGAUAGAUUAUUGCAAUUAUUAAUCUUCAACGAGGAAUGCCUAGUAAGCGCAAGUCAUCAGCUUGCGUUGAUUACGUCCCUGCCCUUUGUACACACCGCCCGUCGCUCCUACCGAUUGAAUGGUCCGGUGAAGCGUUCGGACCGUGGCCUUUGGACGGUUCGCCGUCUGUUGGCUGCGGGAAGUUCGUUAAACCUUAUCAUUUAGAGGAAGGAGAAGUCGUANCA